UACGGAGGGGACUAGCGUUGUUCGGAUUUAUUGGGUUUAAAGGGUGCGUAGGCGGGUAAUUAAGUCAAUGGUGAAAGCCGACAGCUCAACUGUCGAACCGCCAUUGAUACUGGUUAUCUUGAGUAUAGUUGAGGCAGGCGGAAUUUACGAUGUAGCGGUGAAAUGCAUAGAUAUCGUAAAGAACACCGAUAGCGAAGGCAGCUUGCUAAACUAUGACUGACGCUGAGGCACGAAAGCAUGGGGAGCGAACAGG
rnacentral:misc_RNA from 1 species